rnacentral:rRNA from 1 species
AUUGAACGCUGGCGGCAGGCCUAACACAUGCAAGUCGAGCGGAUGAGGGGAGCUUGCUUCCUGAUUUAGCGGCGGACGGGUGAGUAAUGCCUAGGAAUCUGCCUAUUAGUGGGGGAUAACGUUCCGAAAGGAACGCUAAUACCGCAUACGUCCUACGGGAGAAAGUGGGGGAUCUUCGGACCUCACGCUAAUAGAUGAGCCUAGGUCGGAUUAGCUAGUUGGUGAGGUAACGGCUCACCAAGGCGACGAUCCGUAGCUGGUCUGAGAGGAUGAUCAGCCACACUGGAACUGAGACACGGUCCAGACUCCUACGGGAGGCAGCAGUGGGGAAUAUUGGACAAUGGGCGAAAGCCUGAUCCAGCCAUGCCGCGUGUGUGAAGAAGGUCUUCGGAUUGUAAAGCACUUUAAGUUGGGAGGAAGGGCUGUAAGCUAAUAUCUUGCAGCUUUGACGUUACCAACAGAAUAAGCACCGGCUAACUCUGUGCCAGCCGCCGCCGUAACAC